rnacentral:rRNA from 1 species
CCUACGGGAGGCAGCAGUGAGGAAUAUUGGUCAAUGGCCGGAAGGCUGAACCAGCCAUGCCGCGUGAAGGUCAGUGCCCUAUGGGCGUUAAACUUCUUUUGUGCGGGAGCAAUAAUGGUCACGUGUGGCCAGACGAGAGUACCGUACGAAUAAGCAUCGGCUAACUCCGUGCCAGCAGCCGCGGUAAUACGGGGGAUGCAAGCGUUCUCCGGAUUUAUUGGGUUUAAAGGGUGCGUAUGCUGUGAGGUAAGUCAGCGGUGAAAUGCCCCCGCUCAACGGGGUGAAGUGCCAUUGAUACUGCCUUGCUGGAAUGCGGAUGCCGUGGGAGGAAUGUGUGGUGUAGCGGUGAAAGGCAUAGAUAUCACACAGAACACCGAUUGCGAAGGCAUCUCACGAAUCCGCGAUUGACGCUGAUGCACGAAAGCGUGGGUAUCAAACAGGAUUAGAUACCCGUGUAGUC